CCUACGGGACGCAGCAGUGGGGAAUAUUGGGCAAUGGGCGCAAGCCUGACCCAGCAACGCCGCGUGAAGGAAGAAGGCGUUCGGGUUGUAAAAUUCUUUUAUCAGGGACGAAGAAAGUGACGGUACCUGAUGAAUAAGCCACGGCUAACUACGUGUAAGCAGCCGCGGUAAUACGUAGGUGGCAAGCGUUAUCAGGAUUUACUGGGUGUAAAGGGCGUGGAGGCGGGGGGGGAAGGCAGAUGUGAA
rnacentral:rRNA from 1 species